CACAGACCUCAUCCAGUGAAGGCUUCAUCUCUCUGCCAUGGAUUCACCUCUAGUGGUGAUUAAAUUAUGUGCCUCAUUCUGUCUCUACCAGGGUGGAAAUCCGUGACUUUCUAAUUUGUUCCUACUUCCCUUUGAACUCACAUCCCAAUUAGUGGCACUUUAGUGGCAGUCAGGGGACAGCACAUAGUGAAAGAAACCCAGAGAAGCUGACAGAGCAGAGCGGGCUUGUGAGCUGGGGUUCCGCAGUGUGCUAGGGAUGCGGAGCCUUCCCAGGGCAACACGACCGCACACAGUGAGUGUUACAGGCGUGUCUGAGUUCUGUCUAUGCGUUUAAAUGUAUACAUCUAUUUUGUUUCCUCUUAAAGGCCCCAGGCCACAUGUACUAACAAUUCAGAUUGUGUUAAGGAAAAAGAAGCCCUUCUCACUACACAUACACACACAUGCUUACAUGUGCAAUACAAAUACAAAGUAAGAAAACCAACAACAUCCCAAACACGCCACAAGAGCACAAAAGGGCUAGAUUUCUCCUCACCAAGAAAUACCACUCUCUCUGCUCCCCGAACAUGGGGACUCCGGGUUUUUCUCAGGGCCCCAAAGAAGAACCAUUCCAUCCAACAGGCAGUAUUUCGGAGCCUGCACAAGGCUUCCAAAUGUUCCCAGGAGCUCUCUCUCUCUCUCUCCACCUGUGAAUGGCUGGGUGGCAUUGUUGGCUGUUUCUUUCAUUCCCCCUCUGCUUUGAACACAGAAACUAGCGGUUUUUGUUUUUUUUUUCUUUGUCAAUGUCUCCCAGAAGUAGUAGUCCCUACCCCAAUGUAUACGGGAGCACGGGAUCAUAGGUGGAUACCGAUUGGUCGUUGCUGGGACACCAUUCCUAGAAGUCUCUGGCAGUGUGUCUAAGAAUAAUGUCAGUACAUUGCAGACCCUACAGGUGCCUGUGGGCAAGAUGGGUAUUUUGGGAUCUCAGAUGGCACGGGUAAUUCUGGGACUUCUCCUCACAGGAGACAAGGAACUGCCAUGGUAAUGUUGAUUUCCACACUUUAUGAAUACAUGACAGAGAAGCACUGCUAAUUAAACAAACAUGAGAUGAACAAGACAACAGCAAUAAAUUGUGAGCUAAUUUAAAAUAAUAAAAGACAUCCAAAAGAAAUGAAUCACAAUACAGAAAGAUAAAACCCUGUUUAAAUAAUUUGGGGGUAUGUUCCAGAAACCAGGUGCUAAGUAAUCAUUUAAUUCUUCAUUUCCAUGGAAUUCUUUAAGGUUCCUCACUGGGAAAUGAUUUUUAAAAAAUCACAGCUUAAAUAAUUUAAAUGAAAACAUGUCUAAGGAUGUUAUGUGACAAAAUUUCUGUAGUUUCUCAACCACAUUUUGGAGGAAUGUUUUCAAAAAUUAUCUGGGCACUCUAUAAAUGUUAAGGUUUUUUUCAUUACAAGGUUUAUGUUACUUGGUGAAAUUUUAAUGUAAUGAAACAUUCAGCUGGACCUUGUGCUGGAUGUAAAAUAAAAUUAUUCAUUGAAAA
rnacentral:lncRNA from 10 species